rnacentral:rRNA from 1 species
UACGUAGGGUGCAAGCGUUGUCCGGAAUUAUUGGGCGUAAAGAGCUCGUAGGCGGUUCGUCGCGUCGGCUGUGAAAACCUGAGGCUCAACCUCAGGCCUGCAGUCGAUACGGGCGGACUUGAGUACUGCAGGGGAGACUGGAAUUCCUGGUGUAGCGGUGAAAUGCGCAGAUAUCAGGAGGAACACCGAUGGCGAAGGCGGGUCUCUGGGCAACAACUGACGCUGAGGAGCGAAAGCGUGGGGAGCGAACAGG